CUGUCCUUAUGCUUUGAUUUUUGAAUGUCCAGAGAAUCGGUUGUUAUCGAUUACUAACUGCAAACCUGCAAAACUCAAUAUCGAGCGGCUUUUUAGAAAGCACGUGGAAUUGUAAUGAGCAGAAAACAACAAUUUUCAGGUCAGUCUCUGCAACUUCAAAUUAUUCUAGCUGCAGUCAAUGGUUUUAAUAGAUUUACUGCGCUACUUUUGCUCCCUAUCUUCUCUUCUAUUUUUAUUUCAAUUUUAGCUGCUACUCCACAUUAAUCAUCAAAUCUUCAACUUUCAUCAGCCUGCGCAGCUAACUGCCAAAUCUGAUGGACUACUUAAUAAGAAGCGGAAAUCGAAAAAGAAAACAGUGGUUAGCGGACAGUGGGCAGUGGAGAGAUGAAAAGGGACCGCGAAAAAAAAAAGAAAAAAAAGUAGAUCGUGAAAUUUAAUAAACCUUCUAUUCUUAUUGUAGUUGUCAUCAACGCGUUAACAACAAGCAAAUCAAACUAUAUAAUUGGCGCAAAUGUGUAAGAACGCUAGGCGAAUCGCAGUGAAUUUUGCUGCGUGUUUUCGUAUGCCGAUGUUAUAGAAAUUGGCAGCGGUGAGCAGUGGACGUACAAAGAAUGUUUACAAUGGAAAUGCCAAUAGGAGAAAAUAGAAAACCGCAACAACAACAUCAAUACCCAGCACCAAUGAGCGUGAUGACAUAAAAACUAAGCAAGAGAAUAAUUGUAGCACCAACAAGAGCGGUAGAAGUGGUAGAAAAUUGUUAGAAUAAAAGAAUUAAAAAGAAAAAAUUCUGCGUUGAAAAUAUUAACAGUAAAUCGCGGAAGUUUUACCUGGGAAAUAAAAAAUAUUACGCGCUGUUUUAAAUGCCGUUAAUUGACGUAAAAAUGAUAUUUUAAUGAGAGAAAAUGGAUGGAUGUGUUUUUAAACUAAUUAUUGGUUGAAGAAAUGGAAACCGUUCUUAAUAGCUUUGCACAUGACUGAAACCGUUGUUAGAAGUUGUGAGCAAAUGACUCUGGAAACACCUGUUAACAUGAAAGAGAUAAGAGAGACCGAACAUGCGGCUACGGUAGUGACACUUUUCGCUAAGCUAGACAGGUGCCACAGUUACCAGCAGUGCCCAAGUGGCGAGGAAACUCAAUAGAAACAAACGAUAAGGUGGUUCAAGCUCAAGGAUCGCUAAAGAAAGGCAACAAGCUUCGAGAAUCUUCAAGCGAUUUCGCUCCUCCCAAAUUUGCACACCUAAGCAAUACUUACUUGACCCCCUCAAAAUCAACUGGCUCGCUAUUAAAAAUAAACAGAAAGUUUAAUGAAAAUUUGUAAUCACGUGUAUGUGAUUAUUUAACCGUUAUUUAUCGCACCUGUGCCGCCUUUCACUUCUCACUCAGCUACUACGUACACACCGCAUAAAGAUAAAUACUACACUCUCCAGCCAGCAGAUCCUUCACCUCCUCUAUCCAACUCAAGCAAUCUUCUUCCAAUUUUCUUAAUCACUAUCUUCACAGUAUUUAUUUAAGUAAAAAAUAAUUAGAAAAAUUUAAUAUCAAAUAGCGCCUUGGCCUUUCACUUCUCAUGCGCGCGGUAGAUAAUCGAAUAUCGGAACAAGAAGUGCAACAGAAACGUUUGAAGAGAAGAAGGCGAAGAAAAAAAUACACAAAAAAAAAAAAAAAAAAAAAAAAA
rnacentral:lncRNA from 1 species